UACAGUCUUCAGGAUAAUGAUUUAAAUAGAGAGAGUCACUUUGCAUUGUCACACAUGCUUCAGUGCUCUGAGAGUGUUUAUAGUGCUGUGAGUUUAACACUUCAUGACUGACACUGUUUAUCAUAUUAACAGACACAGCAACUAAAAUGACAUUCAUCAUAUUCUUCUUGAUCUUAGGAAUGUAUUUUCAGGAUUCCACAGGACAGGUGACUGCAACUCAGACUCCCACAGAGAAACAUGUUCAGAACGGACACACAGUCUCUCUGACCUGUAAAACCAGCAGCUCCAUUGGACGUCAGUCAGACGGUGACUGUAAGUCGUGUGUCUCCUGGUACCUUCAGAAACCUGGAGAAACACCUAAACUUUUAGUGCACAGCAUCAGGACCCUUGUGACUGAAACUCCAUCUAGAUUCAGUGGAAAUGGAGCCGAUUAUGGAACUGAUUUCACUCUGACCAUCAGUGGAGUCCAGACUGAAGAUACAGGAGAUUAUUACUGUCAGAGUUACCACUGGAUCAACAGUAAACCUGUUUUCACACAGUGAUAAAGAGUGGUACAAAAACCUCGGUCAGUCAGACGUCACAGUGAUGCACUGAUACAGCUGAGAGAUACUGCAGCUGCUCAUACAAC